rnacentral:rRNA from 1 species
GAUGAACGCUGGCGGCGUGCCUAAUACAUGCAAGUCGAGCGAACAGACUAGGAGCUUGUUCCUUUGACGUUAGCGGCGGACGGGUGAGUAACACGUGGGUAACCUACCUAUAAGACUGGGAUAACUUCGGGAAACCGGAGCUAAUACCGGAUAAUAUUUCUAACCGCAUGGUUCGAUAGUGAAAGAUGGCUUUGCUAUCACUUAUAUAUUGACCUGCGCCGUAUUAGCUAGUUGGUAAGGUAACGGCUUACCAAGGCAACGAUUCUUAGCCGACCUGAAAGGGUGAUAGUCCAAACUGAAACUGACACACGGUCCAGACUUCUACGGGAGGCAGCAGUAGGGAAUAUCCAGCGAUGCGCGAAAGCCUGACUGAGCAACACCGCGAUAAUGAUGAAGAUCUUCGUUUCGUAAAACACUGUUAUCAGUGAAGAACAAAAGUGUAUUUAACUGUGCACUACUUGACGGUACCUAAUAAGAAUGCCACAGCUAACUACGGG